GCAGGGUCCCAGGAGGAGCACAGGGACCCAAUGGGUGGCAUCCACUAUGCAGAGCUGAGCCAGCAGGGUACUGGAGACAGCAGGGACCAGGGUAGGGGUGCAGCUCGUCUAGAAGGGGAGACGCCCCUCACUACUGUCUACAGUGAGGUCCGCAGGCCAGGCAGGGCCAUGAUGAGGAUUUAAUUGGAAGAAGCAGGAGAAUCCGGCCCCCCGGGGACACCUGUCUUGGGACCAUGAUGCCUGCAGCCUUGGUCUCACCUCUUCCUCCUCUGACUCCUCUGCUGAGGGACUGGCUGGUCCAAACAUCAGCUAGUGUCUAUGCUAAGUGGUUCUGCACACGUUCACCAUGAGACACACACAGUGGUAGAGCAAGAGGGAAACUGAGUCAAUGUAUUGGUACCAACAUGUUCCAGGUCGGCUCAGCCUCAGCCCGGACACCCCUGGAUGGACUCUGCUCUCCUCCUCAUCUAUAGGACAGCAAACUACCUUCAGACCCUCGCCCCCUGGACGCACCACUGUGACUCACAGCCUCCCACCGGGACAGUCUGAAGAGCAGCCCGCGGUCAGGCUGGGCCGAGAGCUAUUCAGGGACGCGAUGCCUCCGUGGCGGUCAGCGCCGGCUGCGUGCUGCUCUGUGGCCCGCACUGCUCUGACCUCGUGCAGGCUGGGACCUCCCGGGCCUCGUGCACACGCCGUGACGUGGGGGUCUUGUGCGCAGGGUCGGGUCAGUAGAAGGAGGCCUUGGGGGCUGACUCUGGAGGCCGCGCAGCUGGGAGCGCUGGGCCGGGACCCAGCCCGGGGAUCGGGGCUCCAGGCGCGGCUCCCCAGCCCUCGGCUGUCUGUCCCGAGUCCUGGCAAAGCUCCCUUCUGUCCUGUCCUGCUGCAAAUGGCAGAGCCUCCUACUGUUCAGGAAGAAAUGGAAGUUUCUGGGUCCUACCAGUUAGCUUUUAACAGGCUGUGUUGAUUGA